UUCUUUUUCUCUUUUUAGGUUUUCGCCAUCUGUAUUAUUCAACGAACAGUGUCACACCUCCUUUUGAUUUAUCCACAAUAUAGUUAUAACAUUUAGUAACCUUGUAUUUUGCACUGACACAAUUGAAACUAAUUUAUUCACUUAUUUUAGUAAGCUGUCAUACAUUAUGUUCCACGAACAACGCUCCAUAACCUAUACUUGCACGUACACCUUCUUAUAUGUUGAUCACUUGUUCACAAGGUGUUCGAUAUCUGUAUUAUUCGACGAACAGCACUACAACAUACACUACUGCACUA